UACGUAGGGAGCAAGCGUUGUCCGGAAUCAUUGGGCGUAAAGCGCGCGUAGGCGGCCCUGUAAGUCCGUUGUGAAAGUCAAAGGCUCAACCUUUGAAAGCCGAUGGAUACUGCAGGGCUAGAGUCCGGAAGAGGCGAGUGGAAUUCCGAGUGUAGAGGUGAAAUUCGUAGAUAUUCGGAGGAACACCAGUGGCGAAGGCGGCUCACUGGUCCGGUACUGACGCUGAGGUGCGAAAGCGUGGGGAUCAAACAGG
rnacentral:rRNA from 1 species